rnacentral:lncRNA from 1 species
GGCGGGGCCAGGCGGGCGGGACCUGGACGGCCCGGGCCGCGGGAUGCUGCGCUGCGAUUGGCUUUGGAGGGAAAGGGAAGAUGCUGAGUUUCUUUACUUUUGGUGUUUCCACGUGUGGAGACGGAUGUGGCUAAGUUAUCGUGUCCCGUAUUAGGAUGUCAUUCCAGGGAAGCGUUCGUGGAGCACCUGCCACGUGUCAGGCACGAUUCUUGGCAUUUCUCGAUUCGACGGAAAACACAACUGCGAAGGGCGUUCUAGUCCAAGUGAAGGAAGGACAGACGGGAAGCUGUGAAUGAAUGUUGAGGAAGGAUGAACACUUUGCAGCUUAGAACAAUUAACAAUUUAAACAUACUGGGACGCCUGGCUGACUCAGCGGUUCAGUGCCUGCCUUUGGCCCAGGGCGUGGUCCUGGAGUCCCGGGAUCGAGUCCCACAUCGGGCUCCCUGCAUGGAGCCUGCUUCUCCCUCUGCCUGUGUCUCUGCUUUUCUCUCUCUCUGUAUCUCUCAGGAAUAAAUAAAUAAAACCUUUUAAAAAAAAAAGAAUUUUGUCA